AGGCACAGCUGUCCUUCACUCGCACGGAGCAACCUCGGGACAGAUGGUGGGAGAGGAAGGGCAACUCGAGGAGGCACAUUUUAGGAAACUGCCCACGGAGCCAGUUUCGAUUCUCCAAACCUCGUCAGCAUGCAGAGGCUCCCUGACUCGGCAGCAAGGAGGGCCUCAUCAGCCGACCCCCAUGCCCGGCACCCCCUUCACCAGGUCCUGAAAACUCCAGAGAGCAGUGCCCUGUGCAUUAAACACAGACUGCGCCCUUGUACUCAGGAGGAUGCAAUUCUCUCUCUAAAGUCGAGAGCUCACCACCCCGGGCGUUCGUCACUGCAGACAUCACUGCAGACACAGAGACGGCCAUUAGAGCUCACCACCCCGGGCGUUCGUCACUGCAGACAUCACUGCAGACACAGAGAAGGCCAUUAGAGCUCACCACCCCGGGCGUUCGUCACUGCAGACAUCACUGCAGACACAGAGACGGCCAUUAUGCAGCCUCACGUGGUCACUCCUGGGGGCGGUAGGAUAUUUUAUCCUAAAGAGAAAACACCUUAAAUUCUCACAUCAGCCACCCCCAUGGCGACUCUUAACACCUUAAUGUAGCACCUUCCAACUUUUCCUGGGCAUUUAUGUACAAAUUGUAAUAAAAUUGGGUUCUUACUGCAUACGCUGCUUGCUGGUUUCUAAAUAAAAUUGGGUUCUUACU
rnacentral:lncRNA from 1 species